rnacentral:rRNA from 1 species
UACGAAGGGGGCUAGCGUUGUUCGGAUUUACUGGGCUUAAAGCGCACGUAGGCGGAUCGUUAAGUCGGGGGUGAAAUCCUGGAGCUCAACUCCAGAACUGCCUUCGAUACUGGCGAUCUUGAGUCCGGAAGAGGUGAGUGGAACUCCUAGUGUAGAGGUGGAAUUCGUAGAUAUUAGGAAGAACACCAGUGGCGAAGGCGGCUCACUGGUCCGGUACUGACGCUGAGGUGCGAAAGCGUGGGGAGCAAACAGG